AGGCAGCAGUGGGGNAUAUUGCANAAUGGACGCAAGUCUGAUGCAGCCAUACCGCGUGUGUGAAGAAGGCCNGAGGGUUGUAAAGCACUUUCAGUAGGGAGGAAGAUAAUAGUAUUAAUACUGCUAUAGUUUGACGUUACCUACAGAAGAAGCACCGGCUAACUNUGUGCCAGCAGCCGCGGUAAUACAGAGGGUGCAAGCGUUAUUNGGNNUUNNUGGGNGUAAANNNNGCGUAGGCGGAUNAUUAANUCAGUUGUGAAAGCCCUGGGCUCAACCUAGGAACUGCAUCUGAUACUGGUCGUCUAGAGUUUAAGAGAGGGAAGUGGAAUUCCAGGUGUAGCAGUGAAAUGCGUAGAUAUCUGGAGGAACAUCAGUGGCGAAGGCGACUUCCUGGCUUAAAACUGACGCUGAGGUGCGAAAGCGUGGGUAGCGAACGGGAUUAGAUACCCCGGUAGUCCACGCCGUAAACGAUGUCAACUAGUUGUUGGUCUUAUUAAAAAGAUUAGUAACGAAGCUAACGCGAUAAGUUGAC
rnacentral:rRNA from 1 species